rnacentral:rRNA from 1 species
GACGAACGCUGGCGGCGUGCUUAACACAUGCAAGUCGAGCGGUAAGGCCUUUCGGGGUACCCGAGCGGCGAACGGGUGAGUAACACGUGGGUGAUCUGCCCUGCACUUCGGGAUAAGCCUGGGAAACUGGGUCUAAUACCGGAUAUGACCUCCUAUCGCAUGGUGGGUGGUGGAAAGAUUUAUCGGUGCAGGAUGGGCCCGCGGCCUAUCAGCUUGUUGGUGGGGUAAUGGCCUACCAAGGCGACGACGGGUAGCCGACCUGAGAGGGUGAUCGGCCACACUGGGACUGAGACACGGCCCAGACUCCUACGGGAGGCAGCAGUGGGGAAUAUUGCACAAUGGGCGAAAGCCUGAUGCAGCGACGCCGCGUGAGGGAUGACGGCCUUCGGGUUGUAAACCUCUUUCAGCAGGGACGAAGCGCAAGUGACGGUACCUGCAGAAGAAGCACCGGCUAACUACGUG